rnacentral:tRNA from 1 species
GGGUGCGUAGCUCAGCGGUAGAGCAAGUCCCUUACAAGGACGAGGUCACAGGUUCGAUCCCUGUCGCGCCCACCA